rnacentral:lncRNA from 1 species
AACAAUCCUCGAUCCUUGAGUGAGAUUUUGGAGUUUUUGAUGAAGCUCCCUGUGGUAGUAGGAUAGAAUAAAUCUUCGCCGCAUCCCCGCCUUCAUUUUAGCCUAAGUGCGGAUCGGGGGCUCUCCAUUCCUUCUACGUCUUGUAGUUAAUUGGUCCCACCAUGUCAUCGUGUAGUCAGAGAAUUCAAUUGCUGCCAACAUGACCUUUUUGGUCUCGGAAUAAUUAUGGCACUCGAACACCAAUUCUAUUUUUUUCUCCCAUUCGAGACAAGCCUCUGGGUCGGAUUUGCCUUGAAAUGGCGGAAUAGACAUCUUGAUAUUCUUUAGGUCAUCGUCUACUCUCCCACGCUCCCUUUGGCCUCGGUGUCAUUGACCUUUCCUCCAGCCGCCUAUGUUAGAGCCUUGAUCACUUUCGGGCUCACUCAAUUCUGAUAUCUCAUCGUCUUGUUCUCGUCGAUGCCUCGAUUUCGCGGUGGACUCGAAAGAGUCCUCUCUCGUCGGCCUCUACCUUCCACGAGAUCAAGCCUUUCUUGAAUCGACUCUAACUUUCUAUCGAACAAGCGUUCAACCUCGCGUAGUAAGGCUUGUAAAUUUAAGUCCA